rnacentral:rRNA from 1 species
GUUAAGCGACUAAGCGUACACGGUGGAUGCCCUGGCAGUCAGAGGCGAUGAAGGACGUGCUAAUCUGCGAUAAGCGUCGGUAAGGUGAUAUGAACCGUUAUAACCGGCGAUUUCCGAAUGGGGAAACCCAGUGUGUUUCGACACACUAUCAUUAACUGAAUCCAUAGGUUAAUGAGGCGAACCGGGGGAACUGAAACAUCUAAGUACCCCGAGGAAAAGAAAUCAACCGAGAUUCCCCCAGUAGCGGCGAGCGA